rnacentral:rRNA from 1 species
CAGGGAUUGCCCUAGUAACGGCGAGUGAAGCGGCAACAGCUCAAAUUUGAAAUCUGGCGUCUUUGGCGUCCGAGUUGUAAUUUGCAGAGGGCGCUUUGGCAUUGGCAGCGGUCCAAGUUCCUUGGAACAGGACGUCACAGAGGGUGAGAAUCCCGUACGUGGUCGCUAGCCUUUACCGUGUAAAGCCCCUUCGACGAGUCGAGUUGUUUGGGAAUGCAGCUCUAAAUGGGAGGUAAAUUUCUUCUAAAGCUAAAUACUGGCCAGAGACCGAUAGCGCACAAGUAGAGUGAUCGAAAGAUGAAAAGCACUUUGGAAAGAGAGUUAAAAAGCACGUGAAAUUGUUGAAAGGGAAGCGCUUGCAGCCAGACUUGCCUGUAGUUGCUCAUCCGGGUUUUUACCCGGUGCACUCUUCUAUAGGCAGGCCAGCAUCAGUUUGGGCGGUUGGAUAAAGGUCUCUGUCAUGUACCUCUCUUCGGGGAGAACUUAUAGGGGAGACGACAUGCAACCAGCCUGGACUGAGGUCCGCGCAUCUGCUAGGAUGCUGGCGUAAUGGCUGUAAGCGGCCCGUCUUGAAACACGGACCAAGGAGUCUAACAUCUAUGCGAGUGUUUGGGUGUCAAGCCCGAGCGCGUAAUGAAAGUGAACGGAGGUGGGAACCCCUCGGGGUGCACCAUCGACCGAUCCUGAUGUCUUCGGAUGGAUUUGAGUAAGAGCAUAGCUGUUGGGACCCGAAAGAUGGUGAACUAUGCUUGAAUAGGGUGAAGCCAGAGGAAACUCUGGUGGAGGCUCGCAGCGGUUCUGACGUGCAAAUCGAUCGUCAAAUUUGGGCAUAGGGGCGAAAGACUAAUCG